rnacentral:rRNA from 1 species
GACCAAGGAUGAGGUUUGGCUUUACGGCCAGUACUUUACUCCUUAGGUCUCACCUUCUGGCGAACUAGCAUUGUCACGUACCGUGUUAGGAAACCAGGACUUUUACUUUGAAAAAAUUAGAGUGUUUAAAGCAGGCAUACGCUUGAAUACAUUAGCAUGGAAUAAUAGAAUAGGACUUUGGUUCUAUUUUGUUGGUUUCUAGGACCGAAGUA